GGGCUUUGCCUGCCAUCUCUUACCCAUGUCUUUUGAGUACCUUCGUUUCCUCGGCGGGUUCGCCCGCCGGUUGGACAACACUUAAACCCUUUGUAAUUGAAAUCAGCGUCUGAAAAAACUUUAAUAGUUACAACUUUCAACAACGGAUCUCUUGGUUCUGGCAUCGAUGAAGAACGCAGCGAAAUGCGAUAAGUAGUGUGAAUUGCAGAAUUCAGUGAAUCAUGAAUCUUUGAACGCACAUUGCGCCCCUUGGUAUUCCAUGGGGCAUGCCUGUUCGAGCGUCAUUUGUACCUUCAAGCUCUGCUUGGUGUUGGGUGUUUGUCUCGCCUCUGCGCGCAGACUCGCCUCAAAGCAAUUGGCAGCCGGCGUAUUGAUUUCGGAGCGCAGUACAUCUCGCGCUUUGCACUCAUAACGACGACGUCCAAAAAGUACAUUUUUUACACUCUUGACCUCGGAUCAGGUAGGGAUACCCGCUGAACUUAAGCAUAUCAAUAAGUCGGAGAGGCAUUACUAGGUUGCCUUUGCCGCCAUCUCUUACCAUGUUUUGAGACUUCCCCCCGGGGGCCCCCAAUGUAAAUUAAAACCUUUGUAUUGAAAACUUCGAAUAAAAUUUUAGCACUUUACACAUCUCUGUUCUGAAUCAGAAAAAGCAAAAGAUGAGUUGAAUUGCAAACUCAGAAAUCUAAAUCUUUGAGCCCGCUUGCCUAUCAUGGGACCAUAAGUUAUUUUACUCAGCCUGCUGUGUGGUGUGUCUCCGCCAACCCAAAAUUGGACGCGAUGUAUUUUGAGCAACUUACGCUGCUCAACUAAACCAAGAAGUAUUUCAGCUGUUGAAUGCACUGGAAU
rnacentral:rRNA from 1 species